rnacentral:misc_RNA from 1 species
GAUGAAGAACGUAGCGAAAUGCGAUACGUAAUGUGAAUUGCAGAAUUCAGUGAAUCAUCGAGUCUUUGAACGCACAUUGCGCCCCCUGGUAUUCCGGGGGGCAUGCCUGUCCGAGCGUCAUUGCUGCCCUCAAGCACGGCUUGUGUGUUGGGCCUCCGUCCUCCUCCCGGGGGACGGGCCCGAAAGGCAGCGGCGGCACCGCGUCCGGUCCUCGAGCGUAUGGGGCUUUGUCACCCGCUCGAUUAGGGCCGGCCGGGCGCCAGCCGGCGUCUCCAACCUUCUAUUUUACCAGGUUGACCUCGGAUCAGGUAGGGAUACCCGCUGAACUUAAGCAUAUCAAUAAGCGGAGGA